rnacentral:lncRNA from 1 species
UGCCACAGGAGGCAGAGGUGGAAGCGAACAAUCGAGAGCUUGCCCGCAAGGGACCUUACGGGCAUCUUCCUUUGCAAGCAGAACUUCAUCAUCCUCUUCCUCGGCAAUCCAAACGUCAGGCGAUGAUUGGAAAACCAAAGAUUGAACGAAGUCAAUCCCAAAGAAACCCAAAAGGUAAAUAAAGGACGCGAGAAAUGAGAGAAUGGCGAUGAUGUCGGAAAAGGUGACGACAUGGAGAGGUGUGGAGGUACGUAUCUUCUCACGCCAACGGGAUAGAAGAAAAUAAACCACCGAGAAGAAGAGGGUGAAGAACAGGGCAUUGGUUAGGUACAAGGGAAGCGGCAAAGCGUCGGAGGCUUUACCGGUAUCUUCCUCUAAAGGAAUCUUCUUCGUUGGCUUGAGAGAUUGAACAGGUUUAGUCGAAUACAGCCGGGGAGCCUCCAUAUUGGGUGUCGACGUCGCGGAAGCCCGGCAGUGGAGAAGGAGAAUAGAAGAGGAGUGGAAGUGAGAGAGGAUUUCAGUUAGUUUUACGAUUAUGGUGAAGGUGGAGUUGGAGAUGCUGGAGUUUAGGGAGGGAAGGGGAGUAUUUAUAGGACAGAGAGUAAAGAGUGGUGGAGAGUGAGGAAAAAGGCGCGUGAAGUGAAGUGUUGGGCCUGUGUGAGUGGGAAGUCAAAGAAAGAAUUUGAAGGGCAGUGUUUGCGUGCAGUGCAUGUGAAUGGGGGCGCAUUGCAUUUUCCUUUCGUUUGGUCUUAUCUCCGUUAACUGCUAUUUUGUAUCUCUUUUAAUUAUUCCUUAUUUUGGGCAUUCAUUAAUUAAUAUGAGACCAUAUUUAAACUUUUGAUGAGUAGUGAUAAAUAUAUAUAAUCUCGAAUAUAAGUCGUAAAAUUAACAUUAAAUAAAUAAAUAUAUAUAAUAUAUGUGAUAAAAUUUAUCAUUAGUAAUAUAGAUAAAAAUUACAAUGGAAUUUAAUUACUUCCUCGAUAUUUACAUAUUAUUCGUUUUGUAAUUUUUUAUACAAUGUUUAAAAUUAUAUAUAGCUUCUCUUAAAGGAUAAUGCGAAUUCACAUCUUCCUGCACUUACUGAAUUAGGACUCAAUCGAUAACAAUCUUACAAUUUUUAUUUUAUAUAAAAAGAAGAGCUUCCAUUUUUUAUUAAAAAAUUACAGAUACAAUUAUAUUCUACAAUUGUGUUUAUUUUGAACAAAUGAAUUAUAUAUUCAUAUGGAUGUUAACUUAAAUACAUUUUAGGGUAAAUAUUUAUAAAAAUUAAUUUUUUAAACUGGUAUGAUGAUUAACUAUUUAUAUUUAGGGUUUUGCACAGUUUUGCAUACGAUGGUGUUUUAAAUCCUGUGAAAAUCUUUCAUUGGAGAAGGGAGAAAUCUAAAACUGGCAUUCAGUCUAUGACAUGAAAUUCAAAAUAGGAUGCCUGCUUUAUUAUUAUAAAUAUUGGUUCAUGCCGUCACCAUUAUUAUUAUAAUUUAAUUUAUCUUUUAAUGGAAAUGUAAAAAAAAUAAACUAUUAAAAUAGUCACUUUUGUUUACCUUAGAUUACAUUUUAGUUAUGUUUUAGUUACUUGCAUGAACAUGUUGUAACAUUUUAGUCACUGAACGGUUAAGUAUCAUUAAUAGUAUAAUGGUAAGCUAAUGUGGCAUGUUAAAUCAUCAUUUCAAACAAAAAAAUUCAGGUUAAAUUAUACAAUUGGUCCAAUAUUUCUUUGUUUUGAACAAUUUAAUUUUUUUUUAUUUUCCAUUCUCUUUUAUUUCUCUCUUUGUUUUCCUCCCUUUUCCAUUUUUUUAACUUAAUUUUUCUAUGUUUUCUAUUUAUUAAAACUAGUCCCUAUACUUUUAUUUUUUUGAACAUUUUAAUUUUUUUAAUUUUCCUUUUCUUCUUCUCCUUUAGUUUUAACAAAUGAAAAAUAUAGAAAAAUUACAUUAAAAGAGAUAGAAAAGAGAGAAAAACAGAGGACGAAGUAGAAGAGAAAGAAAAAUAAAGAAAUUAAAAUGCUCAAAAUGAAAAUAAUAUGGGGACCAAUUAUAUAAUUUAACCUAAAAUUUUUGUUUGAAAUGAUGAUUUAAUGUGCCACAUCAGCUUACCGUUACAUCGUUAACGGCUUAGUGACUAAAAUGUUACAACACGUUAAUAUAAAUGACUAAAAUGUAACAUUUCAAACAUAACUGACUAAAAUAUAAACUGAAACAAACAAAAGUGACUAUUUUGAUUGUUUCCCUUUAAUAAAUGGUUCAUUACAGUAAUAUAUUAAAUUUAUUCUUAUUUUGUAUUAUUUUUCACAUGUGUAAUAUUCUGAUUAUUUUUUAAUGUUUAAUGUACUAACGUUUAAAUUUAUUCCAUCAUAGCCCAAGAAAAAUAAUAAGAAAUAGACGAUAAGAUUGAAGUAAUAUUUUUUCCAAAAUAACAAGCAUGCAUUCAUGCAUGAGAAUUAUUCAUCACCAUGUGCUAAAGACUUGGACUGUUUGUCAAAGUUUUCUUCAGAAAAAUCAUAUAAAUUUAUAAUGGAAGUAUAUAUAUAUAUAUAUAAGCAGAGUCAGACCAACCAAAGAAGAAAAAAAUUAACAUGAUAUCAUCUUUUUUUAUUGCCCACUAUUUAUCUAGCAAAUUUUGACUGUAAUAUUGUCAUGGUUAGACCAUAUUAUUUUUGCACAAGUGACGCACGAAUAUUAAGUGUAGACUUGCUCAAAACAGUAGGAAAUGAUGAACAAGGUCAUUUCGUAGAAAUUGCAGUCAAUGCUCAUAUUUUGGCUUAAUCCAGCUGGAGUUUAGGUAAAAAUUGAUUCAAAAUUGGAUAAAUAUAUAUAUAAUAUUGAUAUCAUAAAUAAGUUAUUUGAAUCCAAGUCAGUUCAAUCCAUGAAUACCUUUAAUAUGUAUACAUGAUAUGAUAUGUGAAAAAUGAGCUCAACUCAUGAAUAUUUCUAAUAUGUAUGCAUGCUUGAUGCAUGAUAUGUGGAAAAUAACUUAACUUGUUGUAUAGGUUUUGUACGGAGUAUGGACGGCAUUUAUAAGUUCAUUUUUGGAACUUGUAUUUUAGAGUGCAUUUGAGAACGUAAAUAAGUUUGUUGAAGUUUUCAGGGGGAGAAUUUAGAGGUGAGUAAUCUAGAUCUUUUGGUACAAAGUGAGGUUGCUCUAGCAGGAUGUGAUAAGACUUGAAUCAUUUCGUGUAUAGGGUUAAAAGAUAGUGGAUUUACUUACUAAGUUAGGCUUCACAAAUAAAGUAAACUAAACUACGUAAACAACCUUUUGUAUUCUUAUUUUGUUGUUUUUGUCGCAAUGCUACCUUCAAUUGGCAUAUCGCAAUUGAAGAAGCAGAAGUUUGUCUGGAAGAAGAAAGAUCCUAAGUGCUUGAUGUAUAGUGUUUCGGUAAUGGUUGCUUUCGUCACAUGAUAGGUAAUCAUGCAUACUUUUCUAAUUUUGGAGAUCAUCAUAAGGGUCUAGUCACAUUUGGUGAUGGUAAGAAAUGUCAUAUCCAUGGAAACGGAACACUUAAUGUCCUUGGAAUGCUAAAGUUGAAGAAUGUGUUGAAAGGUCAUAUUGUUAAUGACUUGAAAGCUAAUUUGGUGAGCAUUAUCCAAAUGUGUGACUAAGGCAUGAUUAUCAAUUUCACCAAAGACAAGUAUCUGGUUUCAUCAAAGUCUUAUGAGAAGACUAAUGUUUCUAACUUAGAGUUGUGGCAUGAGAAACUUAGCCACAAUCAUUACAAAGGGCUCCGAAGAUUGGUUUGAUAUGUUGCUGGAAUAGGCAACCCAAAACUAGGUGGUGUCAUUCCUAAAGUCCGUUAUGGAUGCUUGAAAGUUAGAGAGGAUCACAUGGAGAAUCAUCAAAGGUUGUCACAUAUCCAAAUUAUUGCAUCUCUCAAGUUACUACACAUAGAUCUCAUUGGACCUAUGUGAAUCGAGAGCAUUGGAGUAAACCGUUAUGUCCUGGUCUAUGUAGAGGACUUUUCAAGGUACACAUGGGUGAGAUUUUUUAGAGAAGUCUAACACAUCUAAAGAAUUCAGGAAACUAAGCAGAAAAUUUUGUCAAUUUUUAUGACGAGGAAAUGAUCAAAAAUGAAUAUUCUACUACUAAGGCACCACAAUAUAAUGGAGUUAUGGGACACAAGAACCGUACCAUAUAGGAGAUGGCAUGAGUGUUGCUUAACAACAAAAGAGUUACUCAUAAGUUUUAAGUUGAGGCAGUGAACAUUGCAACCUAUAUCUUUAACAAAGUUCUUACUAGGCGAAAAACUCACAUGACACUUUUGUAAGAUGUGAAAUGGGAGGAAACCAAAUGUCAAGUAUUUCCAUGUGUUUAGAAGUACCUUGAUAGGUGUCGAAUCCACCAAAAAUGAAAUCCUACCCCUAAACAGGAUAUAAAUUAGAAGUUUAAGGAGUAAGGUCGAUCCCACAAUGAUUAAUUUAUAUGAACUUGUAGUUUGUUAUAACCAGGACGUAUCGUAAGCAGUUUUGUGCCCAUGAUUUAUGCUAACCUAUACAAAAUAGAAAGAAGGAUUAAAUAUGAAUGUAACUAAAUGUCAAAAAUUAAAUAAUAAUAAUGCAAUAGAAAUAAUCAAAUCAGAAUUAAAAUUGAAUAACCUAAUAAGAUGGAUUUUGACUCUGGCUUUGGAUUGAUCCCAAACAAUGGAUUUUUUCCUCCAAUUGAUAAGUCGGGUAUAGUGAUCAAGGAACAACCUCAAAUACCAACCCUUUCGUAUGUAAAUUAACUGCGGGAACAACUCUAAGUUAACCCUUACCAGGUAAAUAACACUGAAAGCAACUUCCAUGAUUUCAUUCCUUGACAACCUUGCGAACUAGAGGGACUCAGCUCAAAUUGACAGCCUCAAUUGCAUGGGUCCACACGCCUACUACCUUUUCCAUCUUUGAUUUUCCAAGUUCUUUUGAAGCAAAAUCCAAGGUUUGUUUGAGCCACAGAGCAUCUUGAAAGAGAAGUUGCUAAGUUGAAAUUCUCUCCAAAAUGGCUCGAGGGAAAACAUGAAUCAAUAGCCCCAACUGAUCUAACUGAAGGAGAAGAAAAAGUUGAAUCUGACCUUGAAACUGUACCAAUUGCUCCUAUAGUGACUAUUUCAGCAGGUCUUGUGAGCAACCUAGCAGGAUUCAAUCAAAGGAUGGUUAGCAUUUUACUGCUUCUAUUGACUCUCAAAAUUGAUUCAUCUCCAAACUUCGAACUGAAAUCCAAGUCAUUCAACAGAUUCGAGAUCAAGAAAUUGCUUUCCGCAAUGAUUUAUUAACUCAUUCCGAACAAUAAUGUUUGACAUAUUUUUAACAAAAAGGGAAGUAAAGAGGAAGGAGAUGAUGGCUAAGAUGGUGGCAAGUUGAUUGCUCCUACUAAUGGGAGUUUAUUUUACUUUUGGUUAUUACAAGCUUCAUUUCAUUUUGGGUAUUUCUUUUGAAAUAUUUGUAAUGAUGAACUUUUCUAAUGGAUGGAUGGAUUUUAUUUUGGUGUACAAACUCUUAUCUUCAUCUUACUUGGAUACAAAUACUUAAAAAGCAUUAAUGGUUGAUUUACUUGAUUAUGUUUUAAGUUAAGUGUGACGGACAAGGGGAUUGUACUAAGGGGAAGCAUUUUUUGUUACUGUUGAUAAGCUUCCUAAUUUGAAUUGGUUUUGUUCAAAAAAUUGUUAAGAGAAAAAAUUGUAGAAGCAAGUGGCCAUCAAAGUGCCAACGGUAGUGGUAGUGGCCACUAUAGAUAGCAUUGCAAUAGACCCUAUUACUAGCCAUGUUUAGAGUUAGCAAUUUUUGAAACAAAAUAUUUGGCUUGAAAACGAUGAUGAUAUUAUGAAAAUAUGAAAGUCCAUAUUAUAUUAGUUUUUAUUAUUUAUUGUAUUUUGCUAGUUUAGCUGGGGCUACAUUAUAAUUUUAAGUAUGUUGAUAUUAGGAAAGCUUUUUAACUAUGUUGGUGACACGUUCAAUAAAUAUAAUUUUAAAGGUAUUUUUGUUUUUUUAACUGCAAACUGUUUGGGUAAAUUUAUUUCAAAAGUUGCUUUCAAAUGCUUUAAAAGUUACGGUGUAUUUUACACUAUUCUCAGGUCACAUGGCCUGAACUUGUCUUUAAAAGAAAGGAAAGAACAAAAUACAAAAUGAAUAAAGAAAAAUCUUUCUGUUCUGUAUAAUCUAUCUACUCCCAUUUACCCGUGGGGUGGGGUUCUUCCGUUCAAUUUCAAUGGCAUUGAUAGAGGGCAGCUUCCACAAGAUGAGUUUAAUCAUUGCCAACUAAUCGUGAAUAACCAAUAUUAAUAAAUAAUCUCCAUUCUUCUCAACCGCCAUAACUGCUCCAUCAACCUGCUAUGUCGGGUGAAAUGGGAACGUACACCACACAAAGGGAUAUAUCUCCUUAGUAAGUUUCUACCAUGGGAGAUUGCCACUUUACCCCCAAAUAUCAGGCCAUCAUUACGUUUUCUCUAUGAAGAAGCCUUGGACACAUCCUUACUUGAUCUAUUGUACUUCAUAUGGCUCUUAACUAGUUGCCCUGCUGCAAGUGCUGACAUGAGUGACAGCUCCCCGGCAAGGACAGCACCUGCUACAAUGGUUGCCAGCAUUCUAGAGUUUGCUCCUGGUGUCUCUUUGCUUGCACCCUUCACUCCAAGUAAGUUCAAACAGGCUGACUGAGAUGCAAGCUGUGUUCCACCACCAACGGUACCAACCUAAAAGAUACAGCAACAGAUAUAAUUAGGGGGAUUCAUAAAUACCCAGAUUCUGUUUUGGUAAUGAAAAUCCUUGUGAUGGAUAAUCAGACAGCAACAUAAUCAAUUACCUCGAUGGAAGGCAUUGUGACAGAGAUGUGGAGGUCCUUGCCCUCGUUAACAGCUUCCAUCAUAGUGAUGCAAUGAGAGCUCUCAACAUUUUGAGCCGGAUCUUGGCCCGUAGCUAUGUAGAUUGCAGUGACGAUGUUACUGGCGUGAGCAUUGAAUCCACCCAGAGCUCCAGCCAUAGCUGAUCCAGUAAGGUUCUUGAGCAUGUUAAGCUCAACGAGAGAUUCCACACUUGUCUUCAAGACCUUCCUAACCACAUCACCCUUAAUGAUGGCUUCGCAAACAACAGAUUUGCCUCGUCCUUCAAUCCAAUUUACAGCCGCUGGUUUUUUGUCGGAACAAAAGUUUCCUAUAUGGACAAAUUCAUAAAUUUCAGUAAUCCUAUAUAGAACAGUAAAAACAUAGAACACAAUUACAAGUCUAUGGAAAAGUGAAACUCACCAGAGAUGCCAAUGACAUCCAUGUCAGGGAAAUCAGUUUGAAGGAAAUCCAAAACAUUUUGGACUCCCUUGGAAACCAUGUUCAUCCCCAUAGCAUCACCUGUACUGCAAGUGAAUCUAAUAUACAGAUUCUUUCCAGCAAUUGCACAUUUGAUACCUUGGAGCCUGCCAAACCUACUUGAUCUGCAACCACCAAAAAGCCAAAAUUUUCAAUAUUAGCUUGAAUUUUAAAUCCAUCAAUAUGGAGUUCUAGAAAUAUCAACACAAACCUGUUGAAAACAACAGACAAGGUCUCGAAAUUAUCAGGGUCCUCCAAAUACAACUUCAAAUCAGCUGCCCUUUUCGCAGUACCGAACCUUACACAUGGAGCUCUAGUCAUACCAUCUUUCAAUAGAACACUUGUAGCUCCACCAGACAAAUGAAUAGCCUUACAGCCCCUAUUAGUGCUAGCCACCAAGCACCCUUCCGUGGUUGCCAUAGGAACCGAGUACUCUCUUCCAUUAACCAACAAAGGCCCAGCAAUUCCAACGGGAAUCUGCACGUAGCCAACCGGCAUCUCACAACACUGCCCUAAAAUCGACUCGUAAUCAAACCCAUCCAAGGGCAAUCCUGAUAACGACUUCCCUGUUAAUCUUUGCAACGCUUCCCGCCUGAUUGCAGCCGCCCUCUUGCAAUCACCCAAUUUCGAUUCCAAGGAAUACGAAGGGGUUGUUCCAGCCACUACAGAUUUAAUUAUUUCUUCAUCUUCCUCCGUUGUAACCGUCACAGGCUUUUCAUCGAACACCUUCUGAACCGUCACGAUUGGUGCCGCAGGAGGCAGAGGUGGAAGCGAGCAAUCGAGAGCUUGUCCACAAGGGACCAUACGGGCGUCUUCCUUUGCGAGCAGAACUUCAUUAUCCUCUUCCUCGUCCUCGGCAAUCCAAACGUCAGGCGAUGGUUGGAAAACCAAAGAUUGAACAAAGUCAAUCCCAAAGAAACCCAAAAGGUAAAUAAAGGACGCUAAAAAUGAGAGAAUGGCGAUGAUCUCGGAAAAGGUGACGACAUGGAGAGGUGUGGAGGUACGGAUCUUCUCACGCCAACGGGAAAGAAGAAAAUAAACCACCGAGAAGAAGAGGGUGAAGAACAGGGCAUUCGUUAGGUGCAAGGGAAGCGGCAAUGCGUCGGAGGCUUUACCGUGAUCUUCCUCUAAAGGAAUCUUCUUCGAUGGCUUGAGAGAUUGAGCAGGUUUAGUCGAAUACAGCCGAGGAGCCUCCAUAUUGGGUGUCGACGGCGGCAGAAGCCCGGCAGUGGAGAAGAAGAAUAGAAGAGUAAUGGAAGUGAGAGAGGAUUUCAGUUAGGUUUACGAUUAUGGGGGAAGGUGGAGCUUGAGAUGCUGGAGUUUAGGGAGGGAAGGGGAGUAUUUAUAGGAUAGAGAGUAAAGUGUAGAGAGAGCGUGAGGAAAAAGGCGCGUGAAUUGAAGUGUUUGGCACUUGUUAGUGCGGAGCUUUACCAAGUGAAGAGUCAAUGGAAGAAUUUCAAGGGAUGUGUUUGGAAGCGUGCACGUGUGCAUGUGCAUGGUGGGGCAUUGCAUAAUCCUUUCAUUUGUUCUUUUCUCCUGCCAAAUUUGGAGAAAAUGCUGAUUUUAAAAAAAUAUUCAGGAAAAUAUUUUUUUUCCAAUAUUUAAAAAAAUAAGUUGAUUUUGAAAAAAAUAAUAAAGCAUAUUUUGCAGAAAUUGUUUUUUUUUUUUGCUGAAAAAGCUCGUAGGAUUAGUUUCUACUUUUUUAAUACAUUAGCUCAUUUGAUUAGAUGAUUAAAUGGUAAUUAUUUUGUCUUUAAGUCUCAAAUUUGAUUAUUUUCUUACUCACAUUUGUAUUUUUAUUUCAAGUCGUUUCAAGCUUUGCUUUUAUUUUUAAUUAUGGUUUUUAACACAUUAACUCCUUUUGUUAGAUUGUUAAAUAAUAGUGAUUUUUUUUGUGAAAGAAAGGAAACAAUACAAGCUAAAUCCUCAAAGGACGGUCCACAAACAAUCUUAAGCCUAGACUUCUAAUGCAAACAAUCUUGGCUAGGCUAUCUGCAAUUAGAUUACUUCCUUUGGGAACAUGCUGAAUUUUCUACUGCUCUAGCUUUUUAAGCGUCUGAUGAAUUAUCCUAAUGAUGGUAGAAUUGGAGAUGCCCGUAUCAUCUUCCAUGAUAGCUUUAAUAGCUUCAAUACUAUCAGUUUGAAUAAGGACAUUUUGGUAACACCUAUCUGCCAUAAGAUUCAGCCCAUCCAAAAUCCCUCAGAGCUCUGCCUCCAAAACUAAACAAUUACCCAAAUAUCUCUCGAACCCUAUAAUCCACUCUCCCUUGUGAUCUCUCACGCAACCUCCCGCAGCUGCAAAGCCCUCGUCAAUCCUAACCGAACCAUCAGUGUUCAAAUAAACUCAACUGUUGGACAUAGGCCAAUUAGGUAGAGUUCUUUGGGCUUCAAACUUUGAGAUCGAGGAAUACUGCUUAGCAACUAAAGGAGAUUUUAAUAAUUUCCUCAACACUCCACAAAAUCCCUUGGAAAACAAAUAUGUUGCGAUUCUUCCAAAUACGACACGCAAUAAUUCCAAAAAGGUAGGACCAAUCGAUUCCCCCUGUCGAAGAAGUCAAUUGGUUCUGCAAAUUAGUCGCCAUCCAAUCAAAUAAAGAGCCUGAGUAAAAACUAAAAAAAAUUUGUUGAGGAAUGAUUUUAUCUUAGACUCCUUUGGCUGCAUGACAAUCUCUGGGUAUAUGUAUCACAUCCUCCAAAAUAUGACCACAAAUAUUGCAAUUGCGGCUACUCCCACAACCUCAUCUUACUCUUUCAACAUUUGUAAGCAGCUUUUGCUUUAAGACAAGCCAAAUAAAGAAGCGGAUUCAAUGAGGGCCUUUAAAUUUCCAAGGUAUCCUCCAAAAUGCUUCAUUGGGAUUCAAAGUGCCUUCACGAACCUUCCCAUAUGCACUCUUGAGAGAGAGAAGGUGCCGGUCGAGGUGGCUCCCCAAAUAAGUCCUAGCUUCGAUUUCUCUUUUAAGCACAUUUGUAUUUUUUUUUUCACAUUGUUUCAAAUUUUUCUUAAUUCAUCUUUUUAAUUAAUAAUUCUUUUAUUUAUAAAAUCAAAUAAUUAUUUUAAAUUAUAUAAUAAAAAAUAUAUUUUGAUAAAAUGAUAUUUUUCAUUAUGUUAAAUAUAAUUUAUUUUUAAAAAAAAUCAACUUUUUGUUAUAUUUUUCUUUAUGUAAAAUAUUUAGGUUCUCCACGUGGAUAUGGUGAUUACUUAUAUUAUAAAAUCAAAUAAUUAUUUCAAAAUAUCAUUAUUAUUUUUAUACGUAAAAUAUUUUAAAUAUCAUUAUUUUUCAUGUACAUUGUAGGUAUGAUAUUGCAAAUAUUUUUAUACGUGAAAUAUUUCAAUUAAUUAUUUCAAAUUACAUUAUGUUUAUAUGUGAAAUAUUUCAAUUAAUCAUUUCAAAUUACAUUAUGUUUAUAUGUUAAAUAUUUCAAAAAGACGUACAAAAAUAUAUAAUACUAAAAUUUAAUACGUUCAUGAUAUGGAUUGAAAAAUAAAAAUUACACAUAAUAUUUAUAUUUAUUAAAGAUAAUGAUAUUUGGAAAUAAUCAUUUUAUUUUUAAAUAAAAUAAUUAUUAAUUAAAAAGAUAAAAAAACUUGAAAACAAUAUAUUUAUUAAUUAAAAAUUAAAAAAAUUGAAACAACAUGAAAUAAAAAAAAGUACAAAUUUGCUUAGAAUAGGAUCAAACCUAGGACUCAAUGAUAAAAUCACUAUUAUUUAACCAUCUAACCAAAUAAAUUAAUGUGAGUAGGAGAAGAAUCUAACCCGAGACUCAAGGACAAAACCAUUAAUAUUUAACUAUCUGACUAAAGGAAUUGAUAUAUUAAAAGAGUUAGAAAACACGCACGGUAAGAUGCAUUAUUUUAUUUGUCUCUCCAAAUUUAAAACCUUCUAUCAAUCAGCUGCUAUUUUGAUGUUUUCUGUCACUUAUUUAGCAUUAUUCUGCCUUUUACUUAUUCCUAAUUUUGGAUUGUUUUUCAUUAAUUAAUUAAUUAAUUAGAGAUCAUAUUAUGAAUGUAUUUAAUAUUUAUGGAAGUAAUGUUAAAAAGAAAUCUGGAGGUUUUUCUUUUUGCUCUUGAUUAAUUGGAUAAGUUUACAUUUUUACAAAAAAAAUAUAUUAAGACAAAGUCAGAGUGAAAAAAUAAUUAAGCAAGAAAAAUUCAGAAAAAUAAAUUGACUCUUCAAUUAAAAAAAUGUAAAGCUUUAUUUGUUUCAUUAUUGAAAAAAAAUGUCAUUCUCAAUUCAAAUUAUUAUUAUUAUUGCAUGUUUAUUUCAUGUUAUAUUUUAACAAAAUAAAAGAAAAAAAAUUGACCAAUCUGAAUUCAAAAUAUAAAUAAAUAAUUUAUAUACUUUUUUAUAAAGAUUACAGUCCAAAUUUGACAUUUAUAAUAUUUUAAUAUACUCAAAUUAUGACAUGUUUUGUAUUAAAUAAAAUCUAAUUAUCACGUUUCUUCCUUUCUUAAUUUUCAGUCAGUCAAUCACAUUAAAUUCAAUUAUCAUUGAGUGUGUUUUGUAUUAUAUAUAUAAAUUGGUAAUGCUGAUUGAGAAAAGACUUUUAAGAGGCUUUAAUAUCAUUGAGUUAUUAAGGUUAAAGGCUUAACACAUAUGUGUUGUCAUCACUUGCUUGACUUAGUUUGUGUUUACUACAUGUAUUGUGUGUUUGGCUGUUGCAGAGUAUCCUCAGUGGAGGAGAAAAAUCAUCUGCUAUUUUUUAAAAUUCAUAUUACUAUUUUACUAUUUUACAUUUUUAAAGUAGAUCAUUUUUAUUUUUUUUUAGUGUUUAAUGUAUCUCCCACGAUAGUAGAAAAUAAUAUGAAAUAGACGAUAAGAUUGAAGUAAAUUUUUUUCCAAAAUAAUAAGCAUGCAUGAGAAUUAUUCAUCGCCAUGUGCUAAAGACUUGGACUGUUUGUCAAAGUUUUCUUCAAAAAAAUCAUAUAACUCACAAUGAAAGUUUAUAUAUAUAUAAGCAUAGUCAGGCCAACCAAUGUAGAAAAAAACUAACAUGAUAUCAUCUUUUGUUAUUGCCCAGUAUUUAUUUAGCAAAUAUUGACUGUAAUAUUGUCAUGAUUAGACCAUAUUAUUUUUGGACAAGAACAAGGUCAUUUCCACACAGGUAGAAGUGCAGUCCAUGCUCAUAGCCUGCUUACGCAUUUACAGAAAAAAAAAAUAUUAUAUGAUAUUGAUAUCAUAGAUAGAUGAAUCGACUUAAUUUAAGUCGGUUCAACUUAUAAAUACCUCUAAUAUGUUUAUGCAAGGAAAAUAAUAUAGCUUUUUGUAUGAGUCUUUUAAUGAAGGAUGUUGUACCUUAAUUUUAUAUAAUAAAUGUGUAUUUAUACUAUUAUUUAAGUUCUUGAUUGGGUUAGUGUCACUCUCAACCGGGUCACCAAAUUUACAAGGAAAAUUAUUGAAAUGUUCUUUCGUAAUUAAAAUAAGUUGUAUUAUUCGAAGGUAUUUUAGUCUUUUUAUUUUUAAAAAGUAAAUAAAAAUCUGUGUAUGGUGGUAUUUGAAUCCAAACUAAUUGGGUUAGAAAACUAUUUAAUUUAUCACUCAACUAAAACUUUUUAUUUUGAUAUUUUUAUAUAUUUUUAAUUUUAUUAUGCACACGUUAUUUUAAUACCGUACAUAUUUCAUGUGUUAUUAUGCUUAAUUAGUUUCAAAUCAUGUGUUUCAUUAUUUAUUAUUUGUUAUUUUUAAACACAUAUUUGUACUCUAAAUUUGUUAUUUUCAUACAUCUACGUGUGAGAUAGGGUUUCUAAUAUUUAUAAAAUAACAUAAUCCUCGAAAAGGAAACAUGCACUUCUAGGUAAGUUAAGUUUCUACCAAAUGACACAUGUUGAUAAUUGACACUUUAGGUGGUUAUUGAUGGCCUUGUAAAAUCUUUCGAUCUUAACAUUAUACAAACCAAAACCUUAGUAUUGCACAAACAAUGAUUUUAGUAUCUUUAGAAUAAUAUGAUUAUCAUAAGUUUAAAAAUAUCUGAUGCGAAAUUGAAGUUGGUCAUUAGAUUUUAUGAAGAAGAACACCCGAUAAAUUGAUUUCUCCCUCUUAACCUUUUUCCCUUAACUACACAAAUCCUAAGCAAUGAAGGCAAAAAAUUUUAUGUGUUUUGUGUGCAACUCUAAUAAGUAAAGUGGGAUUAGUUUAUAAUGAUAAACUUUUAAUCUGAUCAAGUAACCCAAUGAAAUGAUAAAAUUUAAUUUCUAUUAAAGUAAAACUUUUAGGCCCCAUGAUUUUAGAGUUAUUGGGUCCACAUAAUUGGGAUAAAAAUCUUACAUUCUCUCACUUGGCCUAAUGAGAUAAAACAUAAACUUUAAUAGAACAAUUGUUGAGUGCGCAUAAAAAUAAUAUAAACUUUGUCAUUAAAAUUUGAUUAGGUUGACCUCAUAUAAUGUGGCAGAUGAUUAAUAAAAAAUAAACAUGUUAAAUUGACAAAUUUUGAUAGAAACUGCCAACGAUAAUGUAGCGACGUAAAAAUUUUAGCUUAGCUUGGUCGCUAAUUGUGGCGAUUUAUUGAAAUUUUUUUGAAAUUUGAUGUUUGAUUUUUGAAAUAAAUAAGGAGUCGCCACCGAUCCUUUUUCCUAGGUGUGAUCGGACACCUAUUAGAUCUUUUAUUAAAACAAAUAAAAGGCUGAGUUUAGGUCUACGUUAAAAUCCAGAGAAAAUUUAGGGUUCGGGAGUCGAUUACGCACGAGGAAGGUAUUGGCACCCUCGCGACGCCCAAAAUUGGUAUCUUAUUAAACACAUGUUGUCUUGAUUUUCAAAAAUACGAAUUCAAUUUGACAUUUAAGUGUGAUCCGAUUGAAGGAAAUGAGAAGUUUCAAGUUUUUUUGUUUUUUAGAAGGACGUCCCGUUUUUAACACGAGCUGAUUAAUUUCACCCAACAUAGCGAUGAAAUCGAUGACUUAAUGUUAAAAUUGGUACAUUGCCUUAUUCUUAAAAUUAAAAUGUAAAAAGUUUUUAAAAUGAUAAUAAAAAAAAUCCAAGAAUAUUAUUGUCAAAAAAUGCGAACAAUGAUGGGAAUAAUAAAAUAUAUAAAAUAUAAAAUAUUAAAAUAUCAAAAUAUUAGAAUAAUAAUAAUUAAUAUUGACAAAUAAAAAAUAAAAUAGAAAUAAAAAAGAUGUACAUAAUAUAUAUUAGAAAUAAUAAUGAUGUUAAAAAAAAUACUAUUAAUAAUACUACAUCAAUAUGUACAUAUAUAAAAAAUAAAUACAUGAUAAUAUUAAAAAUAUGUACAUAAUAUAGUGUUAAAAAUACAUACAUAAUAUAGUUAAGAUAUAUACAUAAGAUAACAUGUAGAAAAAAAAUAUAUAUAAAUAAUAUAAUAUUAAAGAUAUAUAAAUAAAAUAGUAUAAUAUAUAUAUAUACGUAAUAUAAAAUUUAAAAUAUACCUAAUAUAUUAAAAGAAUAUAUAUAAUAUAAUAUUAAGAAAUAUAAUAAUAACAAAAAAAAGAGAGGGAGAGGGUGGGUGAUUUUUGGCCACAAGGCCGGCCAUCGUCCGGUCGCCGGACCGCCGCCGGCGCCACCGUACACGGCAGCCGGACCUCAAAAAAACUUUUUCGAUAAAAAUGGGUAAGCUUCCUCCUUUUAUUUUUUACUUUCGUAUAAAAGAAACAAAAUAAGAUUGAAAGGAAAACAAUAAGUAAACAAAGAACUUAAAAUGAGAAUAGACAAAGAAACCUCUUUUGCUUUGAUUUUUGAUUAAUCUCCAAAAAAACUAGCUUCUCCAAAAACUAGCAUUCACAAUAACUCUUCUCCUUGAUUACUUUAAAAAGAAACCUCUCCAAAAAUCUUUUACAAUAACUUUCUCUCCCAAAAACUCUCCAAAAAAAUCUUCCCCCCCUAAAACUCUCCAAAAAAAUCCCCUCCAUAUACAAAAUAUGAGAAGGCUUAUAUAGCCAUUUACAAAAUAUUUUUUUAUUGUUUAUGUCUUCAUUUGUAGGUACAAGUGGUGGUGGAGAAGGUGUGGCUAGUGGAGUUAGUGGUGGAAAAAGAGUGGCUAGUGGAGUUGGUGGUGGACAAGGUGUGGCUAGUGGAGUUGGUGGUGGAAAAGGAGUGGCUAGUUGAGAAAAGUUUAAGUUGUGGGCUAGGUUUUUUAUUUUGAUUUGGGCUUAGAAUUUGGGCCAUUGGUGUUUUGAUGUAAAUUGGGCUUUGGGUAGUUAAGAUUUUGGGUUUUGGGUUUAAUUUUGGUGGGUUAGGUAAGGCUAAAUUGGGUUUUGAUGUAAAUGGGCUAAAAUUGGCCUACAACAGCUGCCCCUCUUUGCUUAUUAUCGUGUAACGAGAAUAGAGCAAAGAUAUAAAGAAAGGCCAAUUUUGCCCGGUCUUGCUAAGUAUGGACUUCUUUGGUGCUCUUCUCAUCCAGGUAGUCUCUUUCCAGUCCAUCGCAUCUUGUAGCUUUGGUUCAAUCCACUGCAAAUUCGGAGAUAUGCCUUGUAGCUUCAAUCUGUUCCAAUGUAAUUCAGUAUGCUCUUCUAUUACUUCAGUGAGAUAAGGUUUUGGGUCUUCUCUUCUGCCACUUUAGAAAGGCAAGAUCUGAUAUCCUCGAUUAACUCCACUGCAACUUCAGAGAGACAAAAUAUGGUGUCUUCAAUCAGCUCUAAUAUUGAUUCUUUACUCGGCAUGUGAUCCUGAGCUCAACUCAUUUCUCGCAAUAUGAAUUGACUCUGUAAAACUAGACAUUAAAAACAGAAAUUGAAAAUAGCUCAGCACGUGAGCCAAGGCUCAACUCACCUCUCGCAAAAGUAGAUUUUGAAAAUACCUCGACAUGUGAACCCAAGGCUCAACUCACAUCUCGCAAUAUGAGUUGAUUUUUGAAAAACAGAAAUUUAAAAAUACCUCAGCGUGUCCUGAGGCUCAACUCACCUCUCGCAAUAUGAGUUGAUUUUUUUUUUAACAACAGAAAUUGAAAUUACCUCAGCGUGUCCUGAGGCUCAACUCACCUCUAGCAAUAUGAGUUGAUUUUUUUUACGAACAGAAAUCGAAGAACAGAAAUUGAAAAGACCUCAGCAUGUGAGCCGAGGCUCAACUCACCUCUCGCAAUAUGAGUUAAUUUUUGACAAACAGAAAUUGAAAUUACCUCAGCGUGUCCCGAGGCUCAACUCACCUCUCGCAAUAUGAGUCGAUUUUUGAAAAACAGAAAUUGAAAACCAGAAAUUGAAAAUACCUCAGCGUGUGAGCCAAGGCUCAACUCACCUCUUGCAAUAUGAGCUAAUUUUUUAUGAACAUAAAUUAAAACCACCUCAGCGUGUCCUGAGGCUCAACUCACCUCUCGCAAUAUGAGUUGAUUUUUGACAAACAAAAAUUGAAAUUACCUCAGCGUCUUGAGGCUCAACUCACUUCUCGCAAUAUGAGUUGAUUUUUUUUGAAACAUAAAUUAAAAAAACGAAAAUUGAAAAUACCUCAGCGUGUCCUGAGGCUCAACUCACCUCUCGCAAUAUGAGUUGAAAUUAAAACACAAAAAUUGAAAAUACCUCAGCGUGCCCCGAGGCUCAACUCACCUCUUGCAAUAUGAGCUGAUUUUGAAAAAGUAGAAAUUAAAAGGUUCAACCCACCUCUCGCAAUAUGAGUUGAUUCUUGACAAACAGAAAUUGAAAUUACCUCAUCGUGUCCUGAGGCUCAACUCACCUCUCGCAAUAUGAAUUGAAAAAAAUACCACAGUGUGUAAUCUGAAGCUCAACUCACCUCUCGCAAUAUGAGUUAAUUUUUUUUAAAAAACAGAAAUUGAAAAUACCUCAGCAUGUGAACCGAGGCUCAACUCACCUCUCGCAAUAUAAGUUGAUUUUUUUUUUGAAAACAGAAAUUGAAAAUACCUCAACGUGUCUUGAGGCUCAACUCAUUUCUCGCAAUAUAAGUUGAAUUUUGAAAACAGAAAUUGAAAUUACCUCAGCGUGUCCUGAGGCUCAACUCAUUUCUCGCAAUAUGAGUUGAUUUUUUUUUAACAACAGAAAUUGAAAUUACCUCAGCGUGUCCUGAGGCUCAACUCACCUCUAGCAAUAUGAGUUGAUUUUGAAAAACAAAAAUUAAAAGGCUUAACUCACCUUUCGCAAUAUGAGUCAAUUUAAAACAUAAACUAAAAAUACCUCGGCGUGCCCCGAGACUCAACUCACUUCUCGCAAUAUGAGUUGAUUUUGAAAAAAAAUUAAAAAUACCUCAACGUGUCUUGAGGCUCAACUCAUCUCUCGCAAUAUGAGUUGAUUUUCCUUGGAAAGCAUGAAUAUUAAACAUCAAAAUACCAAAACCAGUCCUUUGGUAGAACUCGGGUAUCUUUUCCUUUGAUUCAGUGCGACUCUCAUUCAAGAUUUCUUGCUUUACUGGAUUACCUGUAUAUGCCAUGCAUGAUGUCAUCAUGAUAUGCACAUGUUUGUCUUAAAUGCCUUUAUGCCUACAUGAUUAUGCAGUGCUCCUUAAGCAUAUUGGUCGUAUGUCAUUUUCGCCAUGAUUGUUGAGGAUCUGCGUUCAUUGCUUUGAUUCUCGACCUUCUCUUCAGGCCUCAUACCUGUCUUCGAGCUUUACGAGUAAUCGAUGUUUCUCAGAUAUCACCCUUUUGCCCUUGGUUAAACUUUGUUCUUGCUUUGAAGAUCUUGCACUUAUCGAAUUCUUAUCCGGGUAAUGCUUGACAUUUCUUUUGUUUAGAGUAUGUCAUUUCACUAUUUAUCAUUAAAUAAACACAUAAUGAGAUGCAUGAAAAUGGUCAGGUAGGGAUAAAAAGGAUAUCUCAUAUUCCUUUAUUUCAAAUGUGGCAAACAAAGAAAGUUAACCAAUGAGAGUAAAAAUGUCAGAAAGAAAGAAAAGGUCGUAUUCGACAGAUACAAAUGCUCUAGAUAUUCAACACAUGAACUCUUCCACGUUCCUCAAUCAAUAAUCUUUUCGAGCAUGGCUUCUUGCGUAGAAAAUUUCGAGCUUUCAGAAGUGCUUCAAAUACUGUAGUCUCACUACUUGACCUAUCGUUCGACCACCAGGUUUGUUUCAUUAGGACGCCCUCUCGGGUUUUCAUCCUAAUCUUUUUGUACUAAUCAAGACGCCCUUUUCGGGUUUUCGCCCUGAUCUUUUUUUUUUAAGAUGCCCUUUUCGGGUUUUCAUCUUAAGCAUAAUAUUUCUUCACCGCAUCUGAAUUCACCGGAUUCGGUAACUCCUUCCCAUCCAUCUCGGUAAGGAUUAAAGCUCCUCCUGAGAAUGCCUUUUUUACAACGUAUGGCCCUUCCCAAUUUGGUUCCCAUUUUCCUCGCAGGUCUUUUUGUAUUGGGAGAAUCUUUCUCAGAACGAGUUCUCCUUCAUGGAACUCUCUUGGUCGUACCUUCUUGUCAUGGGCUGCGAUCAUUCUCUUUUGGUACAUUUGCCCAUGACAAAUUGCCCUUAGACGUUUUUCUUCAAUGAGGUUCAACUGAUCAUAUCGAGCUCGAACCCAUUUUGCUUCUUCUAACUUUGAUUCCAUCAAUACUCGCAGAGAGGGGAUUUCAACCUCGAUAGGUAGCACAGCUUCCAUUCCAUAGACUAGAGAGAAAGGAGUUGCUCCCGUAGAUGUUCGCACAGAUUGCGAUAUGCAAACAAAGCAAAUGGAAGUUUCUCGUGCCAAUCUUUAUAUGUAUCAGUCAUUUUCCCAAUGAUCCUCUUAAUGUUCUUGUUAGCUGCUUCAACAGCCCCGUUCAUCUUUGGGCGAUAGGGCGAGGAAUUAUGAUACUUUAUUUGGAACUGCUCGCACACUUCUUUCAUCAUCUUAUUGUUCAGAUUCGUGGCAUUAUCUGAGAUGAUUCUUUCAGGCAAACCAUAUCGGCAAAUGAUUUCCUUUUUCAAAAACUUACACACGGCAGUCUUCGUCACAUUGGCAAACGAAGCGGCUUCAAUCCAUUUUGUGAAGUAAUCGAUAACCACAAAAAUGAAUCGAUGUCCAUUUGAAGCUUUUGGAGAAAUUGGCCCUAUGACAUCCAUGCCCCACAUAGAAAAAGGCCACGGAGAAGUCAUGACAUGAAGGGGUGAAGGGGCUACAUGAAUUUUAUCGCCGUAGAUUUGACAUUUGUGGCAUUUUCUGGCAAAAUUGAUGCAGUCACUUUCCAUUGUCAGCCAAUAAUAACCGAGUCUCAUGAUCUUUCUGGCCAUAUUGAAACCAUUGGCAUGCGUUCCGCAAAUUCCCUCAUGGACCUCUUCAAGUAUUUUUCUGGCUUCAACAUCAUCCACACAUCUCAAAAGCAUCUGAUCAUUUCCUCUUUUAUAUAGGAUAUCCCCAUCAAGAACAAAUCCCGCUGCCAUUCUUCUAAUUGUUCUUUUAUCGUUCUCAUUCGCUUGUUCGGGAUACCUUUGAUUCUUGGUAUAUUCUAAGAUAUCAUGGAACCAAGGCCGUCCGUCUACUUCUUUUUCAAUGCUACAAUAGUGUGCAGGGACCUCGUAUAUGCUCAUUUUGAGGGGCAUUAUUUCUGCUUCUCUACUUGCUUUGAACAUUGAAGCCAAAGUGGCUAGGGCAUCAGCUAGUUGGUUCUCUUCUCGUGGGAAGUAAUGAAAAGUUAUUUCUUUGAAUUCCUUGAUCAAUCCAGCCACUAAAUCGCUGUACUUAAUCAAUUUUGAGUCCCUCACUUCCCAUUCUCCACGGAUUUGGUAAAUCACUAGGGCUGAGUCCCCGUACACCUCCAAGAUCUCAAUGUUUCGUUCGAUAGCUGCACGAAGCCCCAUGAUACAGGCCUCAUAUUCUGCGAUAUUAUUGGUACAGAAGAAGUUCAGUCUUGCAGUGAACGGAUAAUGAUUCCCGUCUGGUGAUACCAGGAUUACUCCAAUUACAUGCCCUAAAGCAUUUGACGCACCAUCAAAGCACAUCUUCCAUAACUUGUCUUUUGAUGACUCGGAUUCUAUUUCUGUGAUGCACAUUAAGUCUUCGUUUGGGAAAUCGAAUCUUAAAGGCUCAUAUUCCUCUGUCGUUCGAGUUGCUAAGAAGUCAGCUAUUGCGCUCCCUUUUAUCGACUUCUGACUUACAUAGGCAAUGUCAUAUUCCGAAAGGAGGAUCUGCCAUCGUGCCAUUCUUCCUGAUAGUGCCGGCGAUUCCAUCAUGUAUUUUAUUAGGUCCAGCUUUGAAAUUAGCCAUGUCGUGUGAUACAACAUAUAUUGUCUAAGUCUCCGAACUACCCAAACCAGAGCACAACAAUAUUUCUCAAUGGACGAAUAUUUUGCCUCAUAUUCAAUGAACUUUUUACUGAGGUAGUAGAUCGCCUUUUCUUUCUUUCCUGACUCGUCAUGUUGUCCCAGUACGCCACCCAUUGAACUUUCGAACACUGUCAGAUACAAAAUUAAUGGUCUUCCCGGAGUUGGCGGUACUAGCACUGGAGGACUGGACAAAUAUUGUUUUAUCUUAUCAAAGGUCACUUGGCAUUCCUCAUUCCAUUCUCCCGGGUUAUGUUUUCGAAGAAGCCGAAAGAUUGGGUCGCAUUGGUUGGUAAGUUGAGCGAUAAAUCGGGCGAUGUAAUUUAAUCUCCCUAAAAAUCCUCUAACUUCCUUUUGCGUGUGCGGAGGUGGUAAUUCUUGGAUGGCUUUUAUUUUAUCUGGAUCAACUUCGAUACCUCUUUCACUGACAAUGAAGCCUAGCAACUUUCCUGAGGUAGCCCCGAAUGUACAUUUGGCUGGAUUAAGCUUUAGCUGAAACUUUCUCAGCCUUUCGAACAACUUCUUGAGGUUCAUUACAUGCUCUUCUUCUCCUCGAGAUUUAGCAAUCAUAUCAUCGACGUAGACCUCUAGUUCUUUAUGCAUCAUGUCAUAGAAUAACGUCACCAUAGCCCUCUGAUAUGUUGCCCCAGCAUUCUUUAACCCGAAUGGCAUCACCUUGUAGCAGAACGUUCCCCACAUUGUUAUGAAGGUAGUUUUCUCCAUAUCCUCAGGGGCCAUCUUGAUCUGAUUAUACCCCGAGAAUCCAUCCAUGAAAGAAAACAAUGAAUGUUUUGCUGUGUUGUCCACCAACGUGUCAAUAUGUGGCAAGGGAAAAUUAUCUUUUGGGCUUGCUCGAUUCAGGUCAUGGUAAUCCACGCACAUUCGUACUUUUCCAUCUUUCUUUGGUACCGGGACUAUGUUAGCCACCUAUUCUGGAUAUUUGGAGGGUUGUAGGAAGCCAGCGUCAAAUUGCUUCUUGACUUCUUCUUUUAUUUUCAACAGCAUUUCGGGCCUCAUCCAUCUUAAUUUUUGCUGGAUGGGCUUGCAUUCUGGCUUUAAUGGGAGCUUAUGGACCACUAAAUCUUCAUCUAGCCCUGGCAUGUCCUGGUAUGACCACGCGAAAACAUCUUUGUAUUCGCGGAGUAAAGUGAUCAAACUAUGCUUGGUACUUUCUGAAAUAGAAGUCCCAAUCUUCACUUCUUGUUUCCUCUCUUCAGUGCCCAAAUUUAUUGUUUCCACAGAUUCUUCAUGAGGCAGAACCUGUUUAUCCUCUUGUUCUACCAUUCUUAACAAUUCAGGAGACGAGACAUAAUCUUCAGCAUUUUCUUCGGCUUCAAAUUCUCCUAAGCAAACAGCCUUCUCAAAAUCAAUUUCAAGAUUCGUAACGGGCUUAUUCAUGUCGUCAAUAUCUGAGCACCUGAAAGUUGAAUGGAAAAGGAAGCUAUCGGGGGACAUCCAAGUAUUGGAAACAACAAAUAAAAUGUUAUGUCAUGGCAAUGAGGCAAAUGUAAGGAUAGGCUAUGAAAUGAGAAAAUGAUUAUGAAAUUAGUGAUAAUGCGAAAAAUCGUGACAAAAUGCAUCUUCAUUGAUAUUCACUUAAAUGAUAAAGAGCGAAUGCAAGCUCCUACAAAAUAAUUCUAUUAUAUCUAAGGACACAAUAGAAUGUUAAUGUUUGAGCAUUACUCUGAAGACUUAUAAACUACAAAAAGGUCCUCGGCAGUCCAAUUGUUCAACAUGAAACCAGGGGGACAAAGGCGUAUCCUUGAGACAUCUUUACUUGUGUUAGCUCCUUUGUCAAUGACAUUUAUACUGAUGUUCUGAAAACCCUUUUCGAUCAUUAACAUUGUGCCUUGUGCAUUGUCCUGCCUCGGGUAUAUCAUUCCCGCAGACGUAAAUGUUCUUGAUAAAGGAGGGAAUUCCAUGGGCUCCCAUUCUGGUUCUCGGCCUAAGGUUCUCGCGAUCCUUCUUUCUUGAUCUUUCUUCCACUGUCUUCUUCUUUGACGCAUGUCCGGCUGGAACCCCAAACCGUAUCGGGCCUUAUGAUGCACUGGUUUUAGAGCCUUGACUAUUCCUUGAAGAUAUCUCCCUAAACCUCUUCUCACUCGAGCUCCCCUUCCUACAGUCAACUUGACACCCAUUCUAGUAUUUCUCGACAAUUUAGGCACGGGAAUUUUGUUUCCCUCAGUGAAGAAUGUGGCAUUGAUGAAUUCAAGGGAUCGGAAGGAGCAUUCCACUACAUCCUUGCUCACUUCAAGGUAUGGCGCAUCAGCAGAGAUAGAUGCGACAAUGUCUUCUUCUCCCUCGACAGUGACCAAACAGCCAUCCAUGAUAAAUUUCACCUUUUGAUGGAGGGAUGAUGGGACCGCUCCAGCUGAAUGGAUCCAGGGUCUUCCCAAAAGGCAGUUAUAUGAGGAUGUAAUGUCCAUGACUUGGAACUCGACAUCAUAUAUGUAGGGACCCACUUCUAGAGGAAUUUCAAUUUUUUCCAUGACUUCACGCCUUGUCUUGUCGAAUGCCCUUACCGUAGAAUGACAGGGCCUUAAAUGGGACAGAUCCAUCGAAAUUCUGGAAAGUGUGGCCAAAGGCAUAACGUUGAGUGCCGAACCAUUAUCGAUGAGCACGUUCGGUAUUAUGUAGCCCUUGCAACGGGUUGUGAUAUGCAAUGCUUUCACUGAGCCUCUACCAUUGAGUGGUAUUUCAUCAUCACUAAAAGAAAUGAAAUUAUCCGCAUUCAAGUUGUUCAUCCACCUAUCCAGUUUUUCAACGGAUACAUUGUUUGCUACAUAAGCUUGAUUUAACACUUUCAGUAGAGCGUUUCGGUAUGGUUCUGAAUUCAACAGCAGAGAUAAUACCGAGAUUCGCGCUGGCUGCUUACUCAAUUGUUCUACCACGUUGUACUCACUGUGCUUGAUAAAUUUUAAGAAUUCCUGUGCUUCCUCCUUCUCCACAGGAUUUUUAGCUUCUUGUUCAGGCGCAGUUUCAUGCUCAUCAUCGGUCACAUGCAUCGGUGCUUUUCCUUUCUGUUUCAAGUCACUGUUCUUCUUUAUCUCCUUCGAAUAACAUCUUCCACUACGAGUGAAAUGACCUAAUUCCCCGACGCUUCCAGUCAUGGCUUUGGGUUUUUCAUCUUCAGGUGUGACGAUAUUAACGUCAUAUUUCCAUGGUACUACUUUAUUGUCCUUGUAAGGGAAAGAAGAUGGUACUUCGAUUAUCAUUUUUGGUUUCACCGGCUCUUUCGUCGCAUCGUAAUAAAUUACUAAUGGUUGAUCAGCACUAUAAGGGGGACCUGAUGACUGGCUAUCAGAGGCGCAUACUUCUCUUUCAUUGGUCUCUUCCCUUUUGUUAAGGAUCUUAAUCUCCUUAUUAUCCAUCUGGUCUUGAAGCAACCUUUUAAAUUCCUCACACGACUGAAUGUCGUGUCCCACAAUUCCAUGGAAAUUGCAAAAACUUUGACCUUCUUCUCCGAGAAUCCUAUCGGGGUGACAAAGCAAUCCUUUCUUAACCAGUACCUCCCAGAUUUUCUGCAGAGGCGUCCUUAUUUCCGAAACACAUCUUCUGACUUUCCAUUCGUCCACUUUCCCCACUAUGCUCACAUCCCUUUCGAUAUGGUUAGGGAAUGGGUUCCCAGUUGCAUUACUGGCACUAUCGAAUCGUAGGAUACCUGCAUCAAUGAGUCCUUGAACUCUUCUCUUAAAGGCUAGGCAGUUUUUCGUGGAAUGUCCCUGGUUUCCCGUAUGGUAUGCACAACUAGCGAAUUGUAUGUUUUAACCUCAGCGAACGAGUAUGGAAUAUGCAAUGAAUGAAUGAAUGCAUGAAUGUCAAAUGACUGUUAGUCAUGAAAUAAAUGCAAGAAAUUGGUGUUAAUUUCAAGAUAGCCCCUAUUUAGGCAUUUCCUUAAUCAAAAGAGUCUAUUACACAACGUUUCGGUCACUCGUGUAAUUGACUCCUCUAUCAGAAACCCCUUUUUGGCAACCAAUCUCUAAUCAACCCUUUCCUAACAAGAUGUAUAUGAUGCAUGAUGAAAAAUAAAAAUACAGACAAACAACAUUGGUUAGCAAAACACAUAUGAUCAGAGAAAAAUUGUGGAAAAUCUAACAAAUUAAACUACUUGGUCCAAUGGACUCGAUUCCCUUACAUAGAAAGCGAAAGUGCAAAAGGUAAGAGGCGUUCCUCCCGUGCACUUAUUUUGGUGACUACUAAACGGACGAAGGUUCAGCAUGACUCUAGUUAGGUGGCUCGUAUGGUUCAUUAUAUGCGGUUUUGGUUCUAGAUAGGUACUCGAAUUGCCCGUACUAUCAUCUACUAAGAUUAACACGGAGCCUCGGUCAUAGCCUAUCACAGGCUCACGAGUUCAAUUCGAGGGGUUACAUUUACUUAUGCCUAUGCGGAGGGACAAGUUAACUCACGAAAGCAUAAAUCAUAUGUAACCCGAAAGUAUUCACUAGCCUGUGCGGAGGGACGAGUUAACUCACGAAGGCGUAGCGUUUACUUUCACUUAAACGGACGGAGCCCGGGUAGAGAGCUCAUGUUAUGCGAAAAUGCAAGUGCACGGUGUGUGGGGAACAACUCAUAUACCUUUACGUUUCACUUAAAGAAACUAAACCAAAAUUAAAACCAUAAAAAUUAAAAACUGAAAAACAACCAAAUAAGCAAGUUAGAAGAAAUAUUUACAGCACGAUACAAAUGCAUGAAUUUUGAAAACGAGAUUUUCGGAUCACGACCAAAUAUUUACUUUGAACAAGGAAAUUUGAAAAUUUUGACAAAACGUGUUUAAUUCCAGACACGACUCUCAAAAAGGCUUUCCCUAGUGGAGUCGCCAGCUGUAGCGACGUAAAAAUUUUAGCUUAGCUUGGUCGCUAAUUGUGGCGAUUUAUUGAAAAUUUUUUGAAAUUUGACGUUUGAUUUUUGAAAUAAAUAGGGAGUCGCCACCGAUCCUUUUUCCUAGGUGUGAUCGGACACCUAUUAGAUCUUUUAUUAAAACAAAUAAAAGGCUGAGUUUAGGUCUACGUUAAAAUCCAGAGAAAAUUUAGGGUUCGGGAGUCAGUUACGCACGAGGAAGGUAUUGGCACCCUCGCGACGCCCAAAAUUAGUAUCUUAUUAAACACAUGUUGUCUUGAUUUUCAAAAAUACGAAUUCAAUUUAACAUUUAAGUGUGAUCCGAUUGAAGGAAAUGAGAAGUUGUAAGUUUUUUUGUUUUUUAGAAGGACGUCCCGUUUUUAACACGAGCCGAUUAAUUUCACCCAACAUAGCGAUGAAAUCGAUGACUUAAUGUUAAAAUUGGUACAUUGCCUUAUUCUUAAAAUUAAAAUGUAAAAAGUUUUUAAAAUGAUAGUAAAAAAAAUCCAAGAAUAUUAUUGUCAAAAAAUACGAACAAUGAUGGGAAUAAUAAAAUAUAUAAAAUAUAAAAUAUUAAAAUAUCAAAAUAUUAGAAUAAUAAUAAUUAAUAUUGACAAAUAAAAAAUAAAAUAGAAAUAAAAAAGAUGUACAUAAUAUAUAUUAGAAAUAAUAAUGAUGUUAAAAAAAAUACUAUUAAUAAUACUACAUCAAUAUGUACAUAUAUAAAAAAUAAAUACAUGAUAAUAUUAAAAAUAUGUACAUAAUAUAGUGUUAAAAAUACAUACAUAAUAUAGUUAAGAUAUAUACAUAAGAUAACAUGUAGAAAAAAAAAUAUAUAUAAAUAAUAUAAUAUUAAAGAUAUAUAAAUAAAAUAGUAUAAAAUAUAUAUAUACGUAAUAUAAAAUUUAAAAUAUACCUAAUAUAUUAAAAGAAUAUAUAUAAUAUAAUAUUAAGAAAUAUAAUAAUAACAAAAAAAAGAGAGGGAGAGGGUGGGUGAUUUUCGGCCACAAGGCCGGCCAUCGUCCGGUCGCCGGACCGUCAUCGGCGCCACCGUACACGGCAGUCGGACCUCAAAAAAACUUUUUCGGUAAAAAUGGGUAAGCUUCCUCCUUUUAUUUUUUACUUUCGUAUAAAAGAAACAAAAUAAGAUUGAAAGGAAAACAAUAAGUAAACAAAGAACUUAAAAUGAGAAUAGACAAAGAAACCUCUUUUGCUUUGAUUUUUGAUUAAUCUCCAAAAAAACUAGCUUCUCCAAAAACUAGCAUUCACAAUAACUCUUCUCCUUGAUUACUUUAAAAAGAAACCUCUCCAAAAAUCCUUUACAAUAACUUUCUCUCCCAAAAACUCUCCAAAAAAAUCUUCCCCCCCUAAAACUCUCCAAAAAAAUCCCCUCCAUAUACAAAAUAUGAGAAGGCUUAUAUAGCCAUUUACAAAAUAUUUUUUUAUUGUUUAUGUCUUCAUUUGUAGGUACAAGUGGUGGUAGAGAAGGUGUGGCUAGUGGAGUUAGUGGUGGAAAAAGAGUGGCUAGUGGAGUUGGUGGUGGACAAGGUGUGGCUAGUGGAGUUGGUGGUGGAAAAAAGAGUGGCUAGUGGAGUUGGUGGUGGAAAAGGUGUGGCUAGUGGAGUUGGUGGUGGAAAAUGAGUGGCUAGUUGAGAAAAGUUUAAGUUGUGGGCUAGGUUUUUUAUUUUGAUUUGGGCUUAGAAUUUGGGGCAUUGGGGUUUUGAUGUAAAUUGGGCUUUGGGUAGUUAAGAUUUUGGGUUUUGGGUUUAAUUUUGGUGGGUUAGGUAAGGCUAAAUUGGGUUUUGAUGUAAAUGGGCUAAAAUUGGCCUACAACAGUUAAUAAUAACCAAAUUAGAAUUUUUAAAUUGAAAAGGGAGGACUGAAAUUUUAACUUUUAAAGUACAAGAACCCAAUCUCAAAUUAAUUACAAGUACAAGGACUAAUAACACAUGUUAGCUUCUUCUUCUUUUUUAGGUAACAAAAAUAAUCAAUAUAUGACCAACAUGCGGUAGAAAUUUAUUUUAUUUUAAAUAUUAAAUUGCUUUUAGUUUAAUUAAAAUUUUUAAUUUUUUUAAAUUUAACAAUUGAACCGAGUGAUAAAAUACUUGCAAAUAAAUAUUCUGUGGGCAAAGAUUUAAUCAUUAAAUAUUACAUUUUUAAUUAUUUCAUUUAAGUACUUCGCAUAAAAAUAGUAAAAAGCAAAAGCAUUAAUACUAUAAUUGUGAGACACCUUACAUGCGAUUCAAUUGUCUAAUCCAAAUGCGUGACUUCACAUUAUGUUGUCAGAGUAACUCAAACUAACUUGAUAUCAUUUUACUAAGUAACAUGCAUUCAAACAAAUAAAUCACGUAUAAUUUCAAUUAAAUCAUGUGUACAUGUUUAAUGAAUGUCAAUUAAUCUAGUUUAAAGUAUUUAGGAGUUGUACAGGAUCAAAUAUAGAGUUGGGAUUCGAAUCCAAACUCAUUUAUCCAAAUUUUAUAGGGGGUUUCGAGACAUGACAUUCAUGUCUCGAGACACUAAUAUAAUAUGAUCUAAAAUAAACAUUUAAAUGCAUUCAAUCACAAAUAAAUUCGUACCUAACUUAAACAAACUUUACACAAUUUCAUAUGCAUCAUUUUAACAAACAUAUAUAUAACCAAAUAUCCAAACAAUUUAACAAUCAAGUCACCUCAACCUAAUGUAGUUAAAUAAAUGGCUUAAUACUUAUAACCAUGCAAACUCAUUCAUUACUCAAGCAUUAAAACUCAACAAAAGAAACCUUAUAGGUCCAUAGCUAACCAAAGCAUACCAUAUGGACCAAAACAAUAUUUAUUAUGACCUUAAAUGCUUUACAAUUUUGAUCUAUUAAAAACCUGUCCGAGAUCUGCGCAUAAAAACAAACACAACUAUACGUUGAGUAUUAAAUACUUAAUGGUGCUAACAUAAUCUGAAUUCAAAUAUAAAAUAUUAAACAAUUUAAUAUACUAAAUAAACAUUUUAUUUAAUAGAUUCAAUAUAACAAAAGCACUUCUGACUCCAAAAGCACUUUUAAAAGAAAAGCUGUGAAGAACAAGCUGCUUUUUGGCUGAAAUUUUUAGCUUUUUUCUGAAAAUGAGCUGAAAAUGAGAAGCUAAAAAUUUUAGCUUUUACUCUCCCAAAGGCACUUUUUGUGCUUAAUUACUUUUUCACCCCUCCAAUAACAUAGUAUUUUCCUCUUUUUUUUGGUGCUUAAUUACAAAUGUGUUAAAAUCAUUAAUUAAAAAUAAAAAAUAUUUCUUAAAAUACUAAUUACAAAUAUUUAAUGGUUAUAUUUAAAUAUUUAAAAUAUAGUUUAUAUAUUCUAAUUAAAUUUUAUAAAUAAUUAUUAUUUAUUGCUUAAAAAUAUUUAAAAUUUAUAUUUCAUAUAUUAAAAUAUUAACAAUAAGUUAUAAUAAUUUUUUUAUAUUCUUACUAAAAUAUAAUAAUAUUAACUAAUUUAAAUAUUAUUUAAAUACAUAUUUGUUACUUGAUAAUAACAUGUCUAAAAUGGACAUUUUAUUUCUCAAAAGCACUUUUUGACAGCAAUACUAAACACUCAAAUUUUAAGCCAAACUUUUCAAAAGCACUUCUCAAAAGCACUUUUCCACAGGACUUUUCAAAAGUAAUGAAGAACUGGCCCUAAGAUGGCAUUCUAGUAUUUCAUUACCCAAUUUCAUAUCGAGCAACAAUCAUCCCAUAACUUUAUACCAUUUCAUUUAUUCACCCUCAGGGUAUUUAAGUGACAUUUACCUAUGCAAUCAAUUUUCUCUUCGUGAGGCAGGUUCCAAUGUCACGAUACCCAAAACAAUAUUGAAAUUGAGAGUCUUGAAGGUCUCGGUGUCAUGAUACCCAUAUUUGGUAUCGCUAUAUCACUGGAGUUGACCUUAAGUUUUUUCACUUCAGCAUUGUUAGGGGUAUUACGACUUUCAUGACCUCAAUGUCGUGAUACCCCGUUCUAAAUGAUAAUUUCCUCGAGUUUGGUCCAUUAUCAACUUCCUACACCAACUCAAUCAUAUCACUAGGUCCCCCAUGGCGCCAUUUGGGUCUUAAUAUGGCAUAAAACUAAUAAAAAUCAUUAAUUAAUAACAAAAACUAAAAACCGACAAAAGUAAAGAAAAAUACACUUAUAUUGCUUGAGAUUAAGCUCCUCGAGUGUAAUAGAAAGCUUAAUUUGACAUAUCAAAUUACGUCAGAUCACUUGUUCGGCACAGGUUCAAACCGUGUUACCCCCUUCCUCCACCCCUAAAAUCGUAUAAAAAAACUAAUUGCUAAUCUUCUAAUGUAGUCUCUGUACUAUAGUACUUAAUAGUUUAUAUAAUUUAAUUACUAAAUAAUUUUAUUUCUAAUUUAUCUUUUAUUUUUUUAAUCUCACACUCGCUUUGUAAUUGCUCGAUCAAAAUUUUGAACAACUCGAUUUAAUAAAUUUGAUCCCACAAUUAACUUUUCCGACAUUGAAAAAAAUCGAAUCAAUACAAUAUUAUAAAAAAAAACUUUUAAGUAUAGGUGUAGUUAGGAGUCCAUGUUUUUUUUAUAUUAAUCUAGUUUGAAGAAAAAAUCAAACAAUAAAAAGUAGCAAAUUUUAAAAAUCUCUUUUCCUAUUAAAAAAAAAAAACAAGUUGUUAAAUAAAAUUUAUUAUCUUGAAUGAUGUUUUGGCCAUAUUACAAGAUGUAUAAAUUAUGCAUGGGUUUUUUUAAAUUUAUUUUGAUUUAAAUUUCGUCGCGUGUGGACCAUAUUGAUUUAUAAUAUGUUUGGUUUGUGUUUUGUUAUUUUUUUAAUAAAUUUGGGCUAAACUGGUGAACGAAAUAUAUCUUCAGGUACUAAAUGAAUAAAAAAUUUUAAAUACCAAAAUAAAUAAAUAUAUAUAUAUAUAAUUCAAGAGCUCAAACAUGAAUAAAGGCUAAUAAAUUUUGUGAUAAUUUUCUCUCACCUAUAGGCAAAUAAUUUCAAAAAAGAAACUAUUUGAUAUAUUAUUAAUAAAUUUUAAAAUUUUUAUUUAUGAAUUUAAUAAAAUGUUAUAAUUUUUACGAAAAUGAAAUAUAUUAAAAUAAUGUAACAAAAUUCAUAUUUUUAUUUAUUUGUGAAAAUUAAAAAUCUCAUCAAGUUUAUAUAACAAUGUACUUUUUAUUUUAAAUAAACGAUAGAAUCAUUUUUGUUGCACCGAAGUGCCUAUGUGCUGGGUCGGAUAGCACACAAAAUUUUCCUAAAGCUCUUGCCUAAGCAUUAUUUAGGAUGAUGGGCUUUGAUUGAUCUGUUAGCCCAAAAGGUUCUAUUAAUAUAUAUUUUAUAAUUAAAUUUAAAUAUAUUUUUUAUUUUUAAAUGUGCUUCAGCACACUGAAAUUCACAAUAAUAACAAACGUUAAUCAAAUUAAUCAUUUAAAUACUAACUUUUUAUAAAUAAUGAUUUCGAUUUACAUGUCGAUCUAAGUCAUGCAAAAUGUCUAACGUACCAAUUUAUAUAACCAAAGAAAAGACUUUAAUUUGUAGUGUAAGCUACACCAUUAGUCAAUAAAUUAUUAAUACAUUUUUAUUUUGGUCAUUGAACUACUUAAAAGUUCUCAUUUAAGUCAUUAGACUGUUAAAAUCGAUGUUACAUGGUUUUCUCAGUUCGCAUUGCAGCUCUCUUUCUCAUUUUCUUCUACAGUUGAGUUUUUUUUUUUUAUGAAACAAUUUUGGAUGUUACAAAUCUAAAAAACCAAAAUUUAAACAACUUUUCUCUCCGAUCUCUUACAUUGAUCAUCACAUUGAUCUGGAUCUAAAGUAUGUUCUUUUACUCGUCAAUGGAUAUUGAUCCACAGUACUGAUCGUCGAAUUGUUGCUUGAAACUCGCCGGUGGAACUUAAAAAAAAAAACUUAAUAACCUAGUGACUUAAAUAAAAACUUUUGAAUAGUUCAGUGACUUAAAUGAAAAUUUUAAAAUAGUUCAAUGGCCAAAUUAUAAUUUUUUUAGUUAAGUAACCAAAACAAAAAUUUACCCAUAAUUGUAUAAUUUUCACUAAUUUGUAUCACUAAAUUACUUUAAGGGAUCGUGAGGAGUGACAAUACUUGUUACAGAUAGGCAAAGUUUUCAUCAAAAUUUGAAAAAAAACCUAGUGCAAUAGUUAUAUAAACUUUAGGGUAAAUCCCAUCAAUUGUCCCUAAUCUUUAAUUAAAAUUAUAUUUUAGUCACGUAACUUUCAAAAGUUACAUAAUUGUCACUAAAGUUAUCGAAAUGUUACAUUUUAACCACUCUUCAUUUAACUUUCGUUAAGAAGAUGAUGUGGCACAUUAAUUUAACGGGUUAGUCCCUGAACAAUAAUUAAAAUAUCAAAUUGAUACUUUUAAAAUUUUUCUUUAUAAUAAUUCUAAAAAAUUUAAAGGGUAAACUACUCCAAUAGCCACUUAAGUUUUAAUGCGUUCCUAUUUUGGUUACCAGAUUUUUUUGUUAAUUUAGUCAUUUCCAUUAGAUUAAUUGUCAUUUUUAGUCACUCCAUCGUUAAAAUACAUUAGUCAUUGAACGGAAUGUUGAUGUGGCAAUCUUUUGAUUGGUAUAAUAACAAAUUUAGCCCUUAACACUUUACAUAUUCUGUUUACUUGGUCCUAUGUUGAAAAAAUAAACAAAUUUAACUCAAUGUUUACACAUUUUGUCAAUUUAGUCCAAAUUCAAAAAUUUUAUAAUUUUAAAAACUUGAAAAAAAUAUAUGACAUAAAACUAAAAAAAUAUUUAAAAAAUAUAUAAAAUUACUUGGUUGGGCAUUGAUUGUAGAUGAAACAAUUUAUACUUUUCUUUGGCUGAUGCAAACUUGGUUUAUAGCAAUCGGGGAAUAGGCUCCGCAAGUGAUGCUCACUGAUCAAAACAAUGCCAUAAAAGUAGUUGUAGUUGCUGUGUUUCCUGCUGCACGACGUUGUUUCUGUGUUAUGGCAUGUCUUGGGUGACUAUCUAAGUAAUUUACCCUUUAAAUUUUUUAGAAAAAGAUUAAAAGUAUCAAUUUGAUAUUAUAGUUAUAGUUUAGGGGCUAAAUUAGUUAUUAACCCUUUAAAUUAACAUGUCGCAUCGCAAUGUAACAUUUCAAUAACUUCAAAGUUGGGUGAUUAAAAUAUAAUUUUAAUCAAAUGUUAAUGAUAAUUGGUGCAGUUUAUCUUAUGUAUAAACACCGUAUUAAUAGAGUUUAAUAAAUAUUAUUUUCGUAUAUGUAGAUUAGAUCACGCAAUAGUUGAAUAGGUCACAUAUAAUCGGAAAUAAUGAAAAUUGUUGAUGAGGAAGUUAUAUUUGUAUAAAAGAAGAUUGAAAUGAUUCAAUCAUUUUUGUGAAAUAAUAUUUAUAAAAUAAAAUUUGAACAUUCAUAAUAUUUUCUCAAAAUUACGAACUUCGUCGCAUAAAAAGAAAACCGGUUUCUUGUUUAAUUAAAAAGUAGGACUAUAAAUUGUCAACAUGCUUCCAUUUGUUGACCAAUAUUAUCCGGAAGUAGCUUUCAAAUGCUUAAAAAGUAACAGUGUAUUUUACAAUAUUAUCAGGCUACAUGGCCUCACUUUGUAUUCAAUAUAUAUUAUAAAAGAAAGCAAAGAACAAAAAUACAAAAUAAAUAAAGAAACUUACAUAGUGCUUUAACUUAUUACAAAGGGAUUUGUCUCCUUAGUAUGUUUCUACCAUGGGAGAUCGCCACUUUUAUCCCAAAUAUCAGGUUAUCAUUACGUUGCCUUGGAGACAUCCUUACUUGACCUAUUGUACUUCAUAUGGCUCCUAACUAGUUGUCCUGCUGAAAUUGCAGACAUAAGCGACAGCUCCCCGGCAAGAACAGCAGACGCUACAAUGGUUGCCAGCGUCCUAGAGUUUGCUCCCGGUGUCUCUUUGCUUGCACCCUUCACUCCAAGUAAGUUCAAACAGGCUGAUUGAGAUGCAAGCUGAGUUCCACCACCAACAGUCCCAACCUAAAAGAUACAGCAACACAGAUAAUUAGGGACUAACAUAAAUAUCCAGAUUUUGUUUUGGCAACGUAAGUCCCUGUGUUGGAUAAUCAGACAGCAACACUAUCAAUUACCUCGAUGGAAGGCAUUGUGACAGAGAUGUGGAGAUCCUUGCCAUCAUUAACAGCUUCCAUCAUCGUGAUGCAAUGCGAGCUCUCGACGUUUUGAGCCGGAUCUUGGCCGGUAGCUAUGUAGAUUGCAGCAACGAUGUUACUGGCGUGAGCGUUAAAUCCACCCAGAGCUCCAGCCAUAGCUGAUCCAGUAAGGUUCUUCAGCAUGUUAAGCUCAACGAGAGAUUCCACACUUGUCUUCAAGACCUUCCUAACCACAUCACCCUUAAUGGUGGCUUCACAGACAACAGAUUUGCCUCGUCCUUCAAUCCAAUUUACCGCAGCCGGUUUUUUGUCGGAACAAUAGUUUCCUAUAUGCACAAAUUCAUAAAUAUCAGUGAUCCUAUGUCGGACAGUAAAAAGACAUAAUUGCAAGCCUAUACAAAAAAAUGAAACUCACCAGAGAUGCCAAUGACAUCCAUGUCAGGGAAAUCAGUUUGAAGGAAAUCCAAAACGUUUUGCACUCCCUUGGAAACCAUGUUCAUCCCCAUAGCAUCACCUGUACUGCAAGUGAAUCUAAUAUACAGAUUCUUUCCAGCAAUUGCACAUUUGAUACCCUGGAGCCUGCCAAAUCUACUUGAUCUGCAACCACCAAAAAGCCAAAUUUUCAAUAUUAGCUUGAAUUUCAAAAUCAAUCAAUAUGGAGUUCUAGAAAUACACAAACAAACCUGUUGAAAACAACAGACAAGGUCUCGAAAUUAUCAGGGUCCUCCAAAUACAACUUCAAAUCAGCUGCCCUUUUCGCAGUACCGAACCUUACACAUGGAGCUCUUGUCAUACCAUCUUUCAAUAGAACACUUGUAGCUCCACCAGACAAAUGAAUAGCCUUACAGCCCCUAUUAGUGCUAGCCACCAAGCACCCUUCCGUGGUUGCCAUAGGAACCGAGUACUCUCUUCCAUUAACCAACAAAGGCCCGGCAAUUCCAACGGGAAUUUGCACGUAGCCAACCGGCAUCUCACAACACUGCCCUAAAAUCGACUCGUAAUCAAACCCAUCCAAGGGCAAUCCAGAUAACGACUUCCCUGUUAAUCUUUGCAACGCUUCCCGCCUGAUUGCAGCCGCCCUCUUGCAAUCACCCAAUUUCGAUUCCAAGGAAUACGAAGGGGUUGUACCAGCCACUACAGAUUUAAUUAUUUCUUCAUCUUCCUCCGUUAGUACCGUCACAGGCUUUUCAUCGAACACCUUCUGAACGGUCACGAUUGGUGCCGCAGGAGGCAGAGGUGGAAGCGAACAAUCGAGAGCUUGCCCGCAAGGGACCUUACGGGCUUCUUCCUUUGCAAGCAGAACUUCAUCAUCCUCUUCCUCGGCAAUCCAAACGUCAGGCGAUGGUUGGAAAACCAAAGAUUGAACGAAGUCAAUUCCAAAGAAACCCAAAAGGUAAAUAAAGGACGCGAAAAAUGAGAGAAUGGCGAUGAUCUCGGAAAAGGUGACGACAUGGAGAGGUGUGGAGGUACGGAUCUUCUCGCGCCAACGGGAAAGAAGAAAAUAAACCACCGAGAAGAAGAGGGUGAAGAACAGGGCGUUCGUUAGGUACAAGGGAAGCGGCAGUGCGUCGGAGGCUUUACCGGUAUCUUCCUCUAAAGGAAUCUUUUUCGUUGGCUUGAGAGAUUGAACAGGUUUAGUAGAAGAUAUCCGGUGAGCCUCCAUUUUGGGUGUCGACGGUGGCGGAAGCCCGAGAGGAACGGAAAUGAGAGACAGCCGACGAUUUCAAUUAGU